rnacentral:lncRNA from 1 species
AUCAGCCUGGCCAUCUGGAUUUUCACACAGUAAAGCAGGAAGCCUCCAAGGCCAGCCUGUCCAACAGAGGGGCAGCCAGGACAUCUCUGCCCUCUUCUCAUCCCCCAGCCACAGUGGCCAAAGAGGCCCCCACUAGGCACUGUGGCUCUGCAUGACAAACACACAUCCAGCCCAGGACUCUAAGCCUCUCACCUGGACUCCAGUAAAAACCUUGCUGAGCCUCCUUGUCUAUCCUUCC